ensembl:lncRNA
CGCGAGUCAGCCAGAGGAAAACACGUGUUUUCCAAAGUUCAUCCCAUAAUUGUUGCUUUCUCUCGGUUUACAACACCCAGCGCGCAAAAGGCAUUCAGAAUCGUUUACAAAAUACAGGCGUGUAUUAUAACAAAUCUUGUUUUGUUCCGUUCCCAUUCACAAUGCAAAUUCGACAAAACAUAUGAAGUCUACCACGAGAGUAACGUUAUGCUGGCUGUAAAAUGGGCCGUUUACAAUCAAAACGCUCACUGAAUGAAAAGCUGAACUAGCAACAAUGUUCCGGCUAACAACGUUAAGUGGUUGUGCUGGUUCAAAUGUACUAAUUUAAAGUACAUAGCUAGCCUAUCUAACGUGCUCUACUGCAAAUAUUGAAAAAGGCUACUAAAAGUGCCUACUCGUCAGUGUUCUUACCUACAUCUCAAAGGGCAGAGAACAAGGUAUCUUCACGGAAUGCGUUUAUGAGUGUCUUCUCUCCGCGUUGUUCUAUCCAGCGCACCCUUGAGUUCAGGUAGGCUGGAUCGGAUUGGUGUAGUAGUUUACGCCGCUCAGGUAGCAAGCUCUGCUCUCGCUUCCGAACGAAAUAAGUCGUGCCCACAAAAGGAAACCGCUGACCGUAAACAUUUGCUCUUGGAGCUCCCAGUGGAAAAAACGCCUGUCUGCCUGGCCUACCUCCUCCCAUAUAAUUGUAUGGCCCCCGCUCAGCAAAGUGAACACACGGUUGAUCAACAGAUUACCGUAGACUAUCUCUCUUGAUCAACAGGCGCCACCUAUAGGAGGAAACCGCAGGGCUAUGCGCGAGACACCUUCAUCUCGUCAAGGUGGCUGAACAGACUCAAAGAGAUGAUGCCCUUCAAAUUCCGUGAAUCUAAAAUGCCAUGGCCCCUGAUACUUCUGUUGUGCUGGAGCCAUGUUUUGAAAGCUACACACACAUCCAUUAUCAUCCAGACGCCAGCGAGGAUGAUGGUGAAGACUGGUGAUACAGUGACCUUGAAAUGCUAUUUGGUUGAGCUUAUCACCUACUGCUACUCUGUGAUUUGGAUGAAAGUAGACCCUAGGAAUGGAACACUGACUAAGAUUGCAAACUUAAAGAUUGAUAACAACUCUGAGGAGGGAGAAGGGAAGCAGGACAAACUAUGUUCUGCUACAAUCGCCAACGCAACAGUGAGCGACUCAGGAAUGUACUAUUGUUCAGCUGUUCAAUCCGAAAUGAUCCACACUGGCAAUGGUUCUAGAGUUGUUGUGACAGAGAGAGAGAGAACACAGAACAUCACUGAAUCGCCAGCCAUCAAACUCCUCUCUCCAUCGGACGGUGACGGGUCUGUUGUGUUGACGACUCUAUACUACACAGCAGAGUCCUUCAUCCCUCUGCUGUGUUUGGUGUUGAAAGUGGUCCCAUCUCAGGUCCAUGUGUUCUGGCUCAUAGACGGGAGAGAGGACAGUGGACUAACUUCGUCCACUUGGACAGACAACAGUGAUUCAGCCACAGAGUUCACUAUGAACCAGAUUCUAGUCCAGGCAGAGGAGUGGGACAGAGGGGUGCAGUGUACGUGUGUGGUGGAGUUUGAAGGAAAUUCUAUCAACAAAACCCUGAUAAAGCCCAAUGAUUCCACUGGCAUGUGCACAAUGGUGCUGUAUUGGAUAUCUGCAGCUGCUCUCCUCACCAUUAUAGUGGCUGUCACUGUCGCUGUGUGUCGGCACCGUGGACAUCCCAUGGUUACUGAUGAGGAUACAAGACAAAGAGGCACAGGCACAGAGAGCAGGCAGCAUCAAUCUGGGAGACUCGGAGAAGCUAGAAAGGCAGUUAGAUCAUCCGUCUCGGAGGUCCAGUAUGCGACUUUGGACCACAUCCAGUUUGGGAGACGCCCAAAUACAAUUAUCCAAUAAUAUUUUGGAAGGAGAAAUUGCAUAAGAGUUUUCAGAUUAUUAUGUAUGUAUUUGUGUAUAAAGCAAGAGCCAGUGUCCCCAAUUGCUAAGUGCCCAGAGCGACACAGAGCUCUUUUUUUAAUAUUGUAAUUCAACUGUGGGAAAUCCUCCUAAUAGUCAUUAAACUGUCCCAGUCCUAAAAUGUUUUCAGAGGUCAGGUUAGAGCCCUUCCGUGGGAAAACGUGUACAAGCCUACAUAGGAAAAUUACUGAAAUAGUCUUGAAUUUUGUAAUGAUGAUAUAUUUAUUGUGGUGUAGGCUAAUUGGCUGCUUAUAGGCCCAAGUGUUUUCCUGUGUAUUUUUAUUCAUUUUGUACCUUUAUUUAACGAGGCAAGUCAGUUAAUAAGAACAAAGUCUUAUUUUCAGUGACGGCCUAGGAACAGUGGGUUGUUCAGGGGCAGAACGACAGAAUUUGACCUUGUCCUGGUUUUGUCCUACACAGAGGACCACAUUGGAAAUAAGUGUUCUUAGCUAUCCUGUCUCACCCUCAGGGAUUAAUUGUAAAUUAAUAUCUUGUUUUUUUCUUUGUUUUCAUUUUAUUACCUCUUUCAUUACCUCUUAUCUAAUUUACAAUUUUCCUGGAACUGUUGGUGCCAACACUGCCUAUGUAUUUGAACACAUGUUUAAAAACGUUGCUUGAAUGCUAAAAAAAAUACAUUCAAAUUCUCAAUCUGAAACGCACUUUGACAAACUCUGUACGGCCUGUUUCUCUGACCAAAAUGAGAAGGCUCACUGUUUUUGACACUUGUGAGUUGUUUGAUCCGGCACAGACUGCAGAUUGUGUAACAUAUGAAAAAGUGUGACAGGUGCAGGACUGUAGCCUUCAGAACAGAAGCUGACCACAUACCACAGUAGUUUAAGCUUUAGCUGCCUAACGCUCUCCUGCACACACACUCAAUCUAUCUAUCGCUCUGGUAUUCUCAGUAUGAUAUGCUUAUGGACAGACACAGCUUUGGUCAAAUCUGUUCCUUGCUAUUAACAAACCACUAGCAAAUUCUAUUUGCAGGCUUUUUUUUCACCCAAUAGCACAUUAUGAGAGAUGAACCUUUGUACUUUCGUGAUAUGCUAUCAGCUAUCACUUAACCUCAGCAGCUUUCACGAUAUCAAUGAAACUCAGAAAAUAGAUGGAAUGUACUAUUAUUAUUGUAUCAGUUCAUUUUACCACAACAACAUUAUUUUAAAGGGUUGGAAAAUAGUUAUGCUGCUGCUUAGUCCUGAAUGGAAUAUAAAUCACCCUGGCUAAUUAAUGAAAAUGAUGCAUUUAGAUUAAGUCAUGGUAAAAUCAAGUAAGUAAUGGCAAGACUGAACAAAAGUAUUCCCAUUUAGGUAAUGAAAUGUUAAUACUCUCAAUACAAAGUACAGUAGUCCUUUUUGUUAAAUAAAAGGUUACACUGAUUUUAGUCAACUGUAAAAAAUAAAAACACAAUUAAACACUUCUACACUAUGAUACAGCAUGGGGCAAUGUAGACCCAUCACAGAAAUAAAAACUUAGUAAAAAAAAAUGAUGGCUAGUUUGUUUAAAUGUUGAUGCAGACAACUUGGUUAAUGCAGUUUUCUACCUGAUGUUUUAGAAUAGUUUAAAAAAGCUCCAGCCUAUCUCAAAUCAAAUUUAAUUUGUCACAUGUGCCGAAUACCUGACAGUGAAAUGCUUACUUUUUAAAAAGUUACAAAUAGCUCAAAAAAGUAUACACAAUAGCACAAUUGGUUAUGGGAUUAUAAAAUGGCAGCCAUCUCCUUCGGCGCUAUUCUUCAUUCAAUCAGUGUCACUACAAUGGACGCACAAGUGACAGGAAGGGUAGGUUGUAGAUUUUGAGUAAACACUGAUAUCUACUGGAUGUUUUGAGAUGGUGACACAAGAUGAGGGAAAAAAAACAUUUCAUCACUACAGUACUUUCAGGAUAUCACUUUAUGGAAGAAUUGGGCUAUUCCAACACAUUUUAUUUUUUAUGCAUAUUGCUUAUCUGACAAUUUUCAUGUAAUGAAAUCAAAAGCAAAGUGAAAAGGAUUUUUUUUAUAAGAAGUCACGUAAAAAUUCUAUAGCCUUUCGACACCCAGUGAAAACGUACUACAUACUUAACGUCUUCCUAGUUGGUAUGAAGCCCUCUGAUUCACUCAAAGCCCUCAAAUUCUGAAUGUUGGUUUCCUGAAGUUUUCACAAUGAAGACAGAAUCCCAAAGCUCUCCUUUUCUUUAGUUUGGGGGGUUUCUGUUGCUUUUCUUACGCUUGCCUGAAGAAAAAACAAACGAACACAGUUAGCACUUUUAGUUAGUCAAAAGUUAUAAAAAAGAAAGAAAAAUGUCAAACAAAAAAACACGUGUGUAUUCACAUGGAACUUUGUUUCAUGCACGCACACGUAACUAUACUGAACCAAUAUAUAAAUGCAACAUGUACAGGAGCUGAAAUAAAAGACAGCAGAAAUGUUCCAUAUGCACAAAAAAACACAUUUCUCUCAAAUGUUGUGCACAAAUUUGUUUACAUCCCUGUUAGUGAGCAUUUAUCCUUUGCCAGGAUAUUCCAUCCAUCUGACAGGUGUGGCAUAUCUACCUUGUGCUGGGAACAAUAAAAGGCCAAUCUAAAAUGUGCAGUUUUGUCACACAACACAAUGCUACUGGUGUCUCAUGUUUUGAAGGAGUGUGCCAUUGGCAUGCUGACUCCAGGAAUGUCCACCAGAGCUGUUGCCAGAUAAUGUAAUGUUCAUUUCUCUACCAUAAGCUGCCUCCAAUGUCGUUUUAGAGAAUUGUGUAGUAUGUCCAACCGGCCUCACAACCACAGACCAUGAACCACGCCAGCCCAGGACAUCAACAUCCGGCUUCUUCACCUGCAGGAUCAUCUUAGACCAGCCACCCGGACAGCUGAUUCAACUGAGGAGUAUUUCUGUCUAACAAAGCCCUUUUGUGGGGGAAAACUCAUUCUGAUUAGCUCGAACUGACUCCCAAGUGUGUGGGCCUAUGCCCCCCCAGGCCAACCCGUGGUUGCGCCCCUGCCCAGUCAUGUGAAAUCCAUAGAUUAGGGCCUCAUGAAUUUAUUUCAAAUGACCGAUGUCCUUAUAUGAACUGUAACUCAGUAAAAUCGUUAAAAUUGUUGUAUGUUGCGUUUAUAUUUUUGUUCAGUAUAUAAUGAACUAUCAUACAAAAAUACCUCUUACCUGAAUUGUUGCUCCUGCAGGAUAGCUGUACCCGUGCAAUCAGUGUAAGGAGAAGAAGAAGAGCGGACACAAUUCCCAGAACCCUGUAGAGACUCACUAUGGUGUAACACAUUGUGGAGAAAUCUGACAGGACACAAUAACAUCUCAUCAAAGGGAAUGGUACAGCUCAAUACAGAACGUUUCAAUAUCUUAAAAUUCACUGCAUUUAAUGUCAAAUUAAUGUUACUACAUGAACAUACGGUCAAUAUUAUUACAGUAGUGCUAACUAAUGAUAGUAAGAGGAAGAGCAGUUACCAUUGUGUUGCACGGUUUUGUUGAUGUACUGCCCUUCGAACUCUACCACACACGUGCAUUCUGCUCCUCUGUCCCACUCCUCUGCUUUGACCAGAAUCUGGUUCCUAGUGAACUCUGUGGCUGAAUCACUGUUGUCUGUCCAGGUGGACUCAGUAAGUCCACUGUCCUCUCUCCCGUCUAUGAGCCAGAACACAUGGACUUGAGACGGGACCACUCCAGACACCAAACACAGCAGAGCGGCGGAGGAGCCGUCGCUGUCUGAUGAGACGAUUUUGAUGUUUGGGGAUUCAGUGCUGCUCUCUGUAAUGAGAAGAAUAACUUUCAAUUAUCAUUUGGGGAUAUUCCUUCCGCCUUGUUAUUGGCAGUGCAGCUUAUAUGGUGUUGAUAUUAGCAAAUGCAUAGUUGUAUUUCACCUGUGACGAUUAGAUUGGAUCCGUUGCCAGUGUGGACCGCCUUGGAGUGAACAGCCAAACAGUAGUACAUGCCAGAGUCGCUCACUAAUGCGUUGGUGAUGGUUGCCGAACAUACUCUGUCCCGUUUCCCUACCUCAGAUGUCGUAUUAAUCUUUACGUUAGUUCUUGUGCUCAUUGUUCCAGUCCUGGCGUCUACUUUCAUCCAAGUCACUGAGUGGCAAAAGGCGAGAAUCUGAUCAACGUGGCACUUCAAAGUCACCGUGCCACUGGCUAUCAUCUUCACCACACCAGGUGUCUGGGUCACAAUUAUUUGGUUUGUCCAAGUAGCUGUAAGCAGAAACAUGAAUUAUGAAACUCAGAAU